CGGGUACGUUAAUAGCGUAUUCGUUUGACGUUAGCGACAGAAGAAAGCACCGGCUAACUCCGUGCCAGCAGCCGCGGUAAUACGGAGGGUGCGAGCGUUAAUCGGAAUUACUGGGCGUAAAGCGCAUGCAGGUGGUUUGUUAAGUCAGAUGUGAAAGACCCGGGGCGUCAACCUCGGAAUAGCAUUUGAAACUAGGCAGACUAGAGUACUGUAGAGGGGGGUAGGAAUUUCAGGUGUAGCGGUGAAAUGCGUAGAGAUCUGAAGGAAUACCGGUGGCGAAGGCGGCCCCCUCGGACAGAUACUGACACUCAGAUGCGAAAGCGUGGGGAGCAAACAGGAUUAGAUACCCUGGUAG
rnacentral:rRNA from 1 species